UGUAUAUGCACUUACCUAUUCCUAUACCACCCACUCUGGAAAUUUAGUGAAAGGAUUCUCCAAAAAGAAUUAGCUACAGAAUUACGCAAUUAGACAUUGAGUAUCCAUGUGUGGGUACAACUGCAAAUAUUUAAUUGGAAGGACCAAAAUGCAGAUGGACUCUUUAAUUCAUUUGAAGAAAUUAGCUCCUCUCACAAUUUAUCAAUAGAAAGGUCACGAUGCUGCAUCGGCAACAAGAGGUUAGGGAUUCGUUCAUUGCAGCGAGCGUGAGAAGGCCAAGUUCCUCAGCCUUAUAUGGCGCUACCUCUGUUAAUUAUUUGUUAGCCACCGCAUUAU